AUUGAACGCUGGCGGCAUGCCUUACACAUGCAAGUCGAACGGCAGCACGGGAGCGAUCCUGGUGGCGAGUGGCGAACGGGUGAGUAAUAUAUCGGAACGUGCCCAGUCGUGGGGGAUAACGUAGCGAAAGCUACGCUAAUACCGCAUACGAUCCAUGGAUGAAAGCGGGGGAUCGCAAGACCUCGCGCGAUUGGAGCGGCCGAUAUCAGAUUAGCUAGUUGGUGGGGUAAAAGCCCACCAAGGCGACGAUCUGUAGCUGGUCUGAGAGGACGACCAGCCAAACUGGAACUGAGACACGGUCCAGACUCCUACGGGAGGCAGCAGUGGGGAAUUUUGGACAAUGGGCGAAAGCCUGAUCCAGCAAUGCCGCGUGCAGGACGAAGGCCUUCGGGUUGUAAACUGCUUUUGUACGGAGCGAAACGGUCCUCUCUAAUACAGGGGGCUAAUGACGGUACCGUAAGAAUAAGCACCGGCUAACUACGUGCCAGCAGCCGCCGUAA
rnacentral:rRNA from 1 species